AAGAGAAUUUGGUGCCAUGUGCCAUCUACGAUACUUCUUUCUGCAGAGCAUUUCUGAAAAACGCCAGCAUGGCCAAACAGCGAUUCGAAAGAGCUGCAAGACAGUGGAAUCCCAUAAACCACGCCAGUAGUGCAAGGAGCAUAUCUGUGGACAUGACUGGAGACACAUUUGUUCCCUUUCCCUGGCUGCUGACACAAUGCUCUAUCCACCAAAGUACACACAUUGUGCACUUUAUUACGUGCUGAGAAUGACAUGUUUAUGCAAUAACGAGCACCAACAUUUUUCAAACCAUGUGCUAUCCUGUGUAUGUAUGGGAUAACUACCUGCCUCUUUUUCUUGCUAAUUUCUAGUGCACUAGAAUCACAAUGAUAAAACUUCUCUAUCUUUGAAAUAAGUUUUUCCGACAAGAAGCAAAUCGCGUCACUCGGAAAGCCAGAAUUUGCAAGGCGAGCAACUUGUGCAUCAAAUGCAUGCGCCAUAAGGUGCUCGCGUAACUUCUGAAGAGCGGCCCCCAGCACAGUUGAUGCAAUGGCUCCCUGUAUGGUUUUGAGUGGCCAGAAUUAAAAUUUAAAAUUGGCUUUAUGCAUCUAGGUUGGUAUUGCUAUAUAUGUGAUCUUUGAUGAAAGCCUGUCUUAAAUCGA